AUACGGAGGAUCCGAGCGUUAUCCGGAUUUAUUGGGUUUAAAGGGAGCGUAGGUGGAUUGUUAAGUCAGUUGUGAAAGUUUGCGGCUCGACCGUAAAAUUGCAGUUGAAACUGGCAGUCUUGAGUACAGUAGAGGUGGGCGGAAUUCGUGGUGUAGCGGUGAAAUGCUUAGAUAUCACGAAGAACUCCGAUUGCGAAGGCAGCUCACUAGACUGUUACUGACACUGAUGCUCGAAAGUGUGGGUAUCAAACAGGAUUAGAUACCCUGGUAGUCCACACAGUAAACGAUGAAUACUCGCUGUUUGCGAUAUACAGUAAGCGGCCAAGCGAAAGCAUUAAGUAUUCCACCUGGGGAGUACGCCGGCAACGGUGAAACUCAAAGGAAUUGACGGG
rnacentral:rRNA from 1 species